GSUGRSGGMGCUACCAUGCAAGUCGAGCGGUAACAGAUCUAGCUUGCUACAUGCUGACGAGCGGCGGACGGGUGAGUAAUGCAUAGGAAUCUGCCCGAUAGUGGGGGAUAACCUGGGGAAACCCAGGCUAAUACCGCAUACGUCCUACGGGAGAAAGGGGGCUYCGGCUCCCGCUAUCGGAUGAGCCUAUGUCGGAUUAGCUGGUUGGUGAGGUAAWGGCUCACCAAGGCGACGAUCCGUAGCUGGUCUGAGAGGAUGAUCAGCCACAUCGGGACUGAGACACGGCCCGAACUCCUACGGGAGGCAGCAGUGGGGAAUAUUGGACAAUGGGGGSAACCCUGAUCCAGCCAUGCCGCGUGUGUGAAGAAGGCCCUCGGGUUGUAAAGCACUUUCAGUGAGGAAGAACGCCUGGUGGUUAAUACCCAUCAGGAAAGACAUCACUCACAGAAGAAGCACCGGCUAACUCCGUGCCAGCAGCCGCGGUGRMR
rnacentral:rRNA from 1 species